rnacentral:rRNA from 1 species
ACGUUCGGUUGAGAUAAGUGCUGAAAGCAUCUAAGUACGAAGCUUGCCUCAAGAUUAGAUCUCAUUAUAAGGGUGGUUAUAGACGAUGACCUUGAUAGGCUACAGGUGUAAAGGCGGUGACGUCAUAGCCGAGUAGUACUAAUUGCCCGAAAGUUUUUGC